rnacentral:lncRNA from 1 species
AUGACAGCGACCCAAAUCCAGCAUUUAUGGGCCAAUUGUUCUGUGACGUCACAGGAGGCUUUGUGGCUUUUGGACAGACUUGUGGAGUCCAUGCCAGCUCCAGUGCCUGCUGCCAUUAAAACAAAAGAGGGGACAUACCAAAAUACUAACUUAUUCCAAACGUAUGGACAUCUUUCAAAUAUUCAACUAUCGUCGUUUAAAAUGAAAAAGGUUUUUUUUACAUUCAGAGAGUCUCUUCGAGUCGUGGUAUCCGUAUCGGAACAACCCCGGGGGUACGACAGGCGGUUACCUACAGAUGUCAGCCGGAGAGCAAACUCCUGCUGUAAGUAUGGAUUAUCUAAUGAGAAAAGUGCGGCCCGUACGACAGCCAAAUCACAACACAGGUUGGAACAGCCUCAGUCAGAAUCCACGGGCGCAGCUCCCAACGUUGCUCCUCUUUUUUUUUCACCCAUCACUUCAUAUCGAAAUCCGAGUCUGGUGCAGAGCCGGACCUCCUGGAGGGAUAAACACCCAGAGUGAAAUCAGAUUCUGCUCUGAUCUUAUUGACCUUCACUCCCAUUAAUUAACCUGACUGCAGCAGCGAUCUGCAGCGGUGACACCAUUCCGAGGAGGGGGGUAAAAGAAGGGAGAGAACCUGGUGAGUGCUGAGUUCAGUGACACACAGGUACACACCCUGCCAGCUUCACCCAACAUGAAUUGGCCGUCAGGGGUCGCGAACACCAUUAAAAACUACCGCCACUGAUGAAAAUCUAUCAGAUGUGACUCAGACGAAGAGAUAACGUUUUAUUCACACUGACCUGCCUGACCUGAAAAGCUGACUAAAUUUACCACUCUUCUGCAGCAGCUUCCUGUUGACGGGAAGUCCCGACGAGUCGAUUACCGAGUGCAGUAGAGUUCCGCGGCUCAUGGAUGAAAAUGUAUGAUUAUGACUCCAUGGAAAAGCAAUCAAAGUUCAUAUGUGUCUUACCUGCCAGUUUAUAACAGUUAUUAUCGAGAGCGGACAGGGAAAAGAACGGAAUUGAGCAUUUCUAACCGCACUCGGUAAUCGUCACGUCGGGACUUCCCCGACCCGGAAGCUGAUGGAGGAGAGUUGAACUC